GCCAUGAUGGCGUAGUGGCCAGCGCAUCUGCCUGAUGAGCAGAAGACACAGGUUCGAAUCCCGAUCUUGGUA